rnacentral:rRNA from 1 species
GUUGGCGGCGUGCCUUAUGCAUGCAAGUCGAACGGUCUCGAUUUAUCGGGACAGUGGCGAACGGGUGAGUAACACGUAAGUAACCUGCCCCUAAGUUGGGAAUAACCUCGGGAAACCGUGGCUAAUACCGAAUGUGGUGACAGAAUGAUGUUCUGUCACUAAAGCCGAAAGGCGCUUGGGGAUGGGCUUGCGGCCGAUUAGCUAGUUGGUGCGGUAAUGGCCCACCAAGGCGACGAUCGGUAGCUGGCUUGAGAGAGCGGUCAGCCACACUGGGACUGCGACACGGCCCAGACUCCUACGGGAGGCAGCAGCAAGGGAUUUUGUGCAAUGGGCGAAAGCCUGACACAGCGACGCCGCGUGGGGGAUGAAGGCUUUCGGGUUGUAAACCCCUUUUCUCAGGGAAGAAUAAUGACGGUACCUGAGGAAUAAGUCUCGGCUAACUACGUGCCAGCAGCCGCGGUAAGACGUAGGAGGCGAACGUUAUCCGGAUUUAUUGGGCGUAAAGAGGGCGUAGGCGGUUCUUCAAGUCGGAUGUGAAAUCUCCUAGCUUAACUAGGAGGGGUCAUUCGAUACUGUUGGACUAGAGGGCAGUAGAGGGAGGUGGAAUUCCCGGAGUAGUGGUGAAAUGCGUAGAUACCGGGAGGAACACCAGUGGCGAAGGCGGCCUCCUGGGCUGUACCUGACGCUGAGGCCCGAAAGCGUGGGGAGCAAACAGGAUUAGAUACCCUGGUAGUCCACGCUGUAAACGAUGAACACUAGGUGCAGGGAGUAUCGACCCUCUCUGUGCCGAAGCUAACGCGUUAAGUAUCCCGCCUGGGGACUACGGCCGCAAGGCUAAAACUCAAGGAAUUGA